CGGAGGGUGCGAGCGUUGUCCGGAAUCACUGGGCGUAAAGGGCGCGUAGGUGGCUUCUCAAGCGCGCGGUGAAAGCCCGGGGCUCAACCCCGGGUCGGCCGUGCGGACCGGGAGGCUCGAGCACUGUAGGGGCGGGUGGAAUUCCGGGUGUAGCGGUGGAAUGCGUAGAGAUCCGGAAGAACACCGGUGGCGAAGGCGGCCCGCUGGGCAGGAAGGCUCGCAAGAGCCGGCUGACACUGAGGCGCGACAGCGUGGGGAGCAAACAGGAUUAGAUACCCUGGUAGUCCACGCCGUAAACGAUGGGCACUAGGUGCUUGGGGGAGCGACCCCCCGGGUGCCGGCGCUAACGCAUUAAGUGCCCGCCUGGGAGUACGGCCGCAACGGCUG
rnacentral:rRNA from 1 species